rnacentral:rRNA from 1 species
GAUGAACGCUGGCGGCGUGCUUAACACAUGCAAGUCGAACGAUGAAGCCCAGCUUGCUGGGUGGAUUAGUGGCGAACGGGUGAGUAACACGUGAGUAACCUGCCCUUGACUCUGGGAUAAGUGCUGGAAACGGCGUCUAAUACCGGAUACGAGCUUCCACCGCAUGGUGAGUUGCUGGAAAGAAUUUCGGUCAAGGAUGGACUCGCGGCCUAUCAGGUAGUUGGUGAGGUAACGGCUCACCAAGCCGACGACGGGUAGCCGGCCUGAGAGGGUGACCGGCCACACUGGGACUGAGACACGGCCCAGACUCCUACGGGAGGCAGCAGUGGGGAAUAUUGCACAAUGGGCGCAAGCCUGAUGCAGCAACGCCGCGUGAGGGACGAAGGCCUUCGGGUCGUAAACCUCUUUUAGCAGGGAAGAAGCGAAAGUGACGGUACCUGCAGAAAAAGCACCGGCUAACUACGUG